rnacentral:piRNA from 1 species
UUUUUUCUUUAUAUAUCAUUU